AUUGAACGCUGGCGGCAGGCCUAACACAUGCAAGUCGAGCGGAUCGGCGGGCGGGUGAGUAAUUCCUAUGUAUCUGCCUGUUAGUGGGGGAUAACGUCCGGCAACGGGCGCUAAUACCUCAUCCUAUCCACUUAAUCUAGGUGGGAUUAGCUAGUUGGUGGGGUAAAGGCCUACCAAGGCGACGAUCCGUAACUGGUCUGAGAGGAUGAUCAGUCACACUGGAACUGAGACACGGUCCAGACUCCUACGGGAGGCAGCAGUGGGGAAUAUUGGACAAUGGGCGAAAGCCUGAUCCAGCCAUGCCGCGUGUGUGAAGAAGGUCUUCGGAUUGUAAAGCACUUUAAGUUGGGAGGCGUUACCAACAGAAUAAGCACCGGCUAACUUCGUGCCAGCAGCCGCGGUAAUUC
rnacentral:rRNA from 1 species